UUUAGCGUGUGCGCGAGUCAUUGAGUGAUCAAACUCAAAGGCGCAAUGAAAGUGAAGGAAACUUUACGUUUCUGAGGGAAGAUGAGAUUCAUCCACGGGUGGUCUCCGCACUCCCGGGGCGUCUCUAUCUCAUUGCGAGAGGAGGCGCACCCAGAGCGUACACGCUGAUACCCGAAAGAUGGUGAACUAUGCCUGGCCAGGACGAAGCCAGGGGAAACCCUGGUGGAGGUCCGCAGCGAUUCUGACGUGCAAAUCGAUCGUCGGAGCUGGGUUUAGGGGCGAAAGACCAAUCGAA
rnacentral:rRNA from 1 species